rnacentral:misc_RNA from 1 species
AGCCUUGAAGCAACGUUUAAGUUGUCUCCGUGUGACCUGUAAGUCACAGGAUAGAGACGUAGGUUGUCUUGUAUCAUACCCUUGAAGUGUGGCCCUUGAACUCUGCUAACUUGGGAUGCUUUGUGCGCAAGGCUGCCCUUAGGUUCCUGUUUUUUGUUUCUCACUCAUUUUCUAUUUGUAGGCUGGCACACAUACUUUUGGAUA